AGAGUACGUGAAACCGUUCAGGGGUAAACCUGAGAAACCCGAAAGGUCGAAAGGGGAAAUUCAUUCGCGUUUCGGCUUUGUUGGCGUCGAAUGGUCGAGUGACGGAUGGCGUACGCGUCGUCCGCGCCUUCCUUUCUUCGAACCGACGUCGAACGCGUGCACUUUUCCCCUAGUAGGACGUCGCGAUCCGUUGGGUGUCGGUCUAAGGCACGUGCGGUGGAGCCCGACGUGGACGUUUCACGACGUCUGCGCUCGGACCCGUGGUGUCCCGGCCGACUCGCUCGACGGUAUACAGAUGGCGCGGGGCCGCUACACUUUUAGUUAGCGUUCGGCCUGCGGCAAGCGCGUUCGGUGUUUGACGGCGAUCGGACCUGGUGCCGGUCCUGUCCCCGAACGACUGUUGGCCGUGGUGUUCUCGAACAGACCUCGUACACAUUGUGAAACGCCGAUCUGCGACGCUAUAGCUUUGGGUACUUUCAGGACCCGUCUUGAAACACGGACCAAGGAGUCUAGCAUGUGCGCGAGUCAUUGGGACAUAACUAAACCUAAAGGCGCAAUGAAAGUGAAGGUCCGCCUUGCGCGGGCCGAGGGAGGAUGGGCGGUUCGACCUUAAAAGUGGCCGCCCCGCACUCCCGGGGCGUCUCGUUCUCAUUGCGAGAAGA
rnacentral:rRNA from 1 species